rnacentral:rRNA from 1 species
GACGAACGCUGGCGGCGUGCUUAACACAUGCAAGUCGAACGGAAAGGCCCUGCUUUUGUGGGGUGCUCGAGUGGCGAACGGGUGAGUAACACGUGAGUAACCUGCCCUUGACUUUGGGAUAACUUCAGGAAACUGGGGCUAAUACCGGAUAGGAGCUCCUGCUGCAUGGUGGGGGUUGGAAAGUUUCGGCGGUUGGGGAUGGACUCGCGGCUUAUCAGCUUGUUGGUGGGGUAGUGGCUUACCAAGGCUUUGACGGGUAGCCGGCCUGAGAGGGUGACCGGCCACAUUGGGACUGAGAUACGGCCCAGACUCCUACGGGAGGCAGCAGUGGGGAAUAUUGCACAAUGGGCGGAAGCCUGAUGCAGCAACGCCGCGUGCGGGAUGACGGCCUUCGGGUUGUAAACCGCUUUCGCCUGUGACGAAGCGUGAGUGACGGUAAUGGGUAAAGAAGCACCGGCUAACUACGUGCCAGCAGCCGCGGUGAUACGUAGGGUGCGAGCGUUGUCCGGAUUUAUUGGGCGUAAAGGGCUCGUAGGUGGUUGAUCGCGUCGGAAGUGUAAUCUUGGGGCUUAACCCUGAGCGUGCUUUCGAUACGGGUUGACUUGAGGAAGGUAGGGGAGAAUGGAAUUCCUGGUGGAGCGGUGGAAUGCGCAGAUAUCAGGAGGAACACCAGUGGCGAAGGCGGUUCUCUGGGCCUUUCCUGACGCUGAGGAGCGAAAGCGUGGGGAGCGAACAGGCUUAGAUACCCUGGUAGUCCACGCUGUAAACGGUGGGUACUAGGUGUGGGGUCCAUUCCACGGGUUCCGUGCCGUAGCUAACGCUUUAAGUACCCCGCCUGGGGAGUACGGCCGCAAGGCUAAAACUCAAAGGAAUUGACGGGGCCCCGCACAAGCGGCGGAGCAUGCGGAUUAAUUCGAUGCAACGCGUAGAACCUUACCUGGGUUUGACAUGGAUCGGGAGUGCUCAGAGAUGGGUGUGCCUCUUUUGGGGUCGGUUCACAGGUGGUGCAUGGCUGUCGUCAGCUCGUGUCGUGAGAUGUUGGGUUAAGUCCCGCAACGAGCGCAACCCUUGUUCACUGUUGCCAGCACGUUAUGGUGGGGACUCAGUGGAGACCGCCGGGGUCAACUCGGAGGAAGGUGGGGAUGACGUCAAGUCAUCAUGCCCCUUAUGUCCAGGGCUUCACGCAUGCUACAAUGGCUGGUACAGAGAGUGGCGAGCCUGUGAGGGUGAGCGAAUCUCGGAAAGCCGGUCUCAGUUCGGAUUGGGGUCUGCAACUCGACCUCGUGAAGUCGGAGUCGCUAGUAAUCGCAGAUCAGCAACGCUGCGGUGAAUACAUUCCCGGG